GACGAACGCUGGCGGCGUGCUUAACACAUGCAAGUCGAACGGUGAAGCGCCUUCCUUUUUGGUGGGUGUGGAUGAGUGGCGAACGGGGGAGUAACACGUGAGUAACCUGCCCCCUUCUUCUGGAUAACCGCAUGAAAGUGUGGCUAAUACGGGAUAUUCUGGGUCUGUCGCAUGAUGGGUCUGGGAAAGAUAUUGUUUCGGUGGGGGAUGGGCUCGCGGCCUAUCAGCUUGUUGGUGGGGUGAUGGCCUACCAAGGCGGUGACGGGUAGCCGGCCUGAGAGGGUGGACGGUCACACGGGGACUGAGACACGGCCCAGACUCCUACGGGCGGCAGCAGUGGGGAAUAUUGCACAAUGGGCGCAAGCCUGAUGCAGCGACGCCGCGUGAGGGAUGGAGGCCUUCGGGUUGUGAACCUCUUUCGCCAGUGAAGCAGGCCUGCCUCGUUUGUGGGUGGGUUGACGGUAGCUGGAUAAGAAGCGCCGGCUAACUACGUG
rnacentral:rRNA from 1 species